CAGGCUGUGAUGAUUGGCGCAGGGGUACGGACCUCAGCUGAUCAUGGGAGCUGAGUGUAUGUGUUUGUCCUUUGUCCUGCGUGUGGCAGGAUGACAGCAAGCACUUACAUGAGACUGAUGCCUUAAUCUGAGCCUG